ACCUGAAAAGGAGUGAAGUAGUAGAAGAUCUCACAUGGAGUGUAAUACCAUGGACAGCAAACCUGACUUCCAGAUGUCAGAGGAAGAAGAUUCUAUUCCAAAUGUUAAAAGAUCUCUAAAAAGGAAGCUGGUGAAACACAGCACUCCAGUGGACUCAAUGCUCUCAAGAAAAACGCUGUCUCUUUCAGGUCCAAUCAAUUGGUUAGUCAAGGACCAAGAUCUCAGUAAGAGAGCUUAUGUAUCCCCAGUGCCAAAAUCAACUCCAGGAAGAUCAGUAGCUCAACUAUCACUAGCAAGUGUUGAAGCAUACUUCCCUUAUAUGUCUCCUAAAAGGUUUUCAGCAGUAUUUGACUUGCAAGAUUCCAGCAGAGAGAUAAGCCAAAGUUCUCAAGUUGUGUAUUCAGGAAGACGACUUUCCACAGUACUGGCAUCUGAUGAAUCAAAUGAAGAGGCAAGUGAAAAGGCUGUCUCGAGUGUGGAAACUCAGACUCCCACAGAAGCAUCUGAGAAGAUUGCAGUAACUCCCAAGAGUGGAUCUUCAUGGAUGGUUUCUGGAAUACCAGGAAUAAAAGAUCCUCCAAUGUUGAAAAAGAAGAAAAUUGAUAAAGCUACUGUGAGAAAGAAACAAAGAGAAUGGGUGCUUCGCCAACUUAUAAACAUUGAGGAAGCAACUAAACAUGAAUUAACAAUUGAAGAAUCUUGAUCAAACUACUCUUGAAAGUAAUGCUGUUUCGUGCUUGUUUUGUAAAUAGCAAAUUGCAAUAAAGUGCACAUCCAACUAAUCUGCAAUGCCUAUUGGUCUUACUAUUCCCUACUGAAUUUGGUUGGUUUUUGAAUUUUGGGAUUCUUCUCACCUCUGAAGUCUAAGAGAUGUCAGCUACUGCUUCUACAUGAAAGACAAUGUUAAUCUACAGUAGCUAAAUGCCUGGAAUAAAGGAAGGGAGAGAGUAAAGUAAAAAUUGUUCUUCAUCCUGCCACAGUUGCCACUUAUCACAAUUGUUUG
rnacentral:lncRNA from 7 species